rnacentral:rRNA from 1 species
AAUUGAUCUGAAAUGCAGGGUGGAAUAUCCC